UGCGGGGUAGAGCAGCUCGGCCAGCUCGCCAGGCUCAUAACCUGGAAGUCGUGGGUUCGAAUCCCACUCCCGCCACCA
rnacentral:tRNA from 1 species